AUUGAACGCUGGCGGCAUGCUUUACACAUGCAAGUCGAACGGUAACAGGCCUUCGGGUGCUGACGAGUGGCGAACGGGUGAGUAAUGCAUCGGAACGUACCCAGAGGUGGGGGAUAACGCAGCGAAAGCUGUGCUAAUACCGCAUGUGAUCUGAGGAUGAAAGCGGGGGACCGAGCAGCAAUGUUUGGCCUCGCGCCUUUGGAGCGGCCGAUGUCGGAUUAGCUAGUUGGUGGGGUAAAGGCCUACCAAGGCGACGAUCCGUAGCUGGUCUGAGAGGACGACCAGCCACACUGGGACUGAGACACGGCCCAGACUCCUACGGGAGGCAGCAGUGGGGAAUUUUGGACAAUGGGCGCAAGCCUGAUCCAGCAAUGCCGCGUGCGGGAAGAAGGCCUUCGGGUUGUAAACCGCUUUUGGCAGGAACGAAACGGUGUCCGCUAAUACCGGGCGCUAAUGACGGUGCCUGCAGAAUAAGCACCGGCUAACUACGUG
rnacentral:rRNA from 1 species